rnacentral:rRNA from 1 species
AUUGAACGCUGGCGGCAUGCCUUACACAUGCAAGUCGAACGGCAGCGGGGGAGAAGCUUGCUUUUCCUGCCGGCGAGUGGCGAACGGGUGAGUAAUACAUCGGAACGUGCCCUGUAGUGGGUGAUAACUAGUCGAAAGAUUAGCUAAUACCGCAUACGCCCUGAGGGUGAAAGUGGGAGACCGCAAGGCCUCAUGCUAUGGGAGCGGCCGAUGUCUGAUUAGCUAGUUGGUGGGGUAAAGGCCUACCAAGGCGACGAUCUGUAGCUGGUCUGAGAGGAUGAUCAGCCACACUGGGACUGAGACACGGCCCAGACUCCUACGGGAGGCAGCAGUGGGGAAUUUUGGACAAUGGGGGCAACCCUGAUCCAGCCAUGCCGCGUGAGUGAAGAAGGCCUUCGGGUUGUAAAGCUCUUUCGGCCGGGAAGAAAUCGCCAUCUCUAAUAUAGGUGGUGGAUGACGGUACCGGAAUAAGAAGCACCGGCUAACUACGUGCCAGCCGCCGCCGUAA